CACACCUCUCCGCCGGCCCCUCCUUCACCCCACGCUGCCCCCCCGGGCCGGGGCGCCCACCUGUGCUGAUGGGCUCCCCGCCCCCCUCCGUUCCCCCUGGGCUGGGGCCUGUGCUCCAGGCGAGGACCAAUGAAGACAUCUCCGCCUCCACCAUGGUCCUACAGGAGAGUCUGAAGACGCCCUGAAGUGCGGCAGGCUCGGUGCUGCUUGGGAGCCGCUUCUCCUUCCUCCAUCCCCUGCUCCAGCCUUCUCAGACCUCGAGGACGCCUGGGUCCCAUUGCCUGCUGGCUUCCCCCCUGCUCCAGGACGGGGCCUGACAAGAGACUCUCCGCUCCUCCUCUUCCUUCACCCCAGAGAGGAACAUGCCGGCUGGGCCGCGGGCACCCCUGCCCCCUGCCCCCCGCCCCAGCGUCAGCACCGUGAACACGCCCCCAUCGCCCCACGCAGAGCCUUCAAGGUUCACCCCCCCCGGGCCCAGCCCGUGCACCCCCGCACACUCUGGUCCCUCACGUGUGCCUGCGUGUCCGUGAAGACCCACAUCCCUGGGCCCCGCGCACCCCCCCCAGAUCCUGCACCCUCCUGGGGGUCCCAGCCCCAGGCUGCUGUGCCCUCGGACAUUGGGGGCGAGCUCCCCACCUCCCCUCCCCCGCCUGAGCUGUGCUCCGGGCUCCCUUUGAAGGCCUGAAGAGCUCAGAUGAGACACUCCCUGGCUUGGGCAUCUGCUGGACAGGCCUGGACGGGCCCCCACAGGGGCUGCCGGCCGGAGGGCCCGCACAGACACGGUACUGACUCGAGAAGCGGCACGAGUGUCGGGCCUUCUCCUGGGCCGGGAAUUGUUCCCCCAGCCCCGGGCCCAGGAAGAAGGUGCCAAAAGGAGGCAGCCUCUGGGCUGGAGCAGGCCCAGGACCGGCCCCGCUAAGGAGGCUCCAGGCCAGGAGGUGGAGUGGCUGCUUUGCAGUGGAGUGUGGGAUGGCUCUAAUAAACGAUUGUUUCUGUUUGGGUA